AUUGAACGCUGGCGGCAGGCCUAACACAUGCAAGUCGAGCGAGCGGCGGACGGGUGAGUAAUUUAUGGGAAACUGCCUGAUGGAGGGGGAUAACUACUGGAAACGGUAGCUAAUACCGCAUACCAUCAGAUGUGCCCAGAUGGGAUUAGCUAUUAGGUGGGGUAACGGCUCACCUAGGCGACGAUCCCUAGCUGGUGUGAGAGGUUGACCAGCAACCCGAGAACUGAAACACGGUCCAGACUCCUACGGGAGGCAGAAGUGGGGAAUAGUGCACAAUGGGCGAAAGCCGGAUGCAGACAUGCCGCGUGUGUGAAGAAGUCAUUCGGGUUGUAAAGCACUUUCAGCGGGGAGGCGUUACCCGCAGAAGAAGCACCGGCUAACUACGUGCCAGCCGCCGCGGUAAUUC
rnacentral:rRNA from 1 species